AAAAAACCCUAAUCUCUACGUUUCUCCCUUCAGCCGCCUCACCCUCAUUCUUUUCUUUUCUUCUCUCUAAGUUUCAUGCCUCUCUCUUACCUCUUCACCAUCUCUCUCUUCAUCACCCCCAUUCUUUCUCCCAACUGUAGCCAACCACCACAUCCACUCACCGGCGACGUAGUUGGGCGGCGGCUUGGGGUUGAGGAAGUUGAGUUUGGGCGACGGCUAUGGCUUUCAAUAUGCCCUCUCCGAUUUCCUCAGUGAUGCAGGUUUGUGGGUGGCCAUUGUUUUUUUUUUUUUCCUCUCCGAUCUAUGGAUUUCAAGGGCCGUGGGUGGGUUUGUGUCGAUCUGGUGGUGAUUGCUUGGAUUUGAUGGGGAGUACGAUUAUUAAUCGGCGAUUUUGCAGUUGGAAAUCUAAAUUUCUGUCCCGAUCUACUAGGAACGAGAUCUGCCUACUCCAGCAUUGGAGAUUGGCAUCAUGAUAGCUACUAUACAAAUCAUUGCAUCAACAAAAAAAGAAAAUAACAAAUGGCAUAAGCUGCCGCAUUUAAAGAAUGUUGACAGAUGGAGGAAGUGCUGCAUCUGAGGAUGGGACUACCAAUGUAUGAGAUGCUGCUGUUGGCUCUUUACUCUUGUGAGAACUACUAAUUGUUAUUCGGAUACCUACAUAGGUAAUGAGUACUUUUAUGUUGUUUUCCAAAAUAAAGUCUGGUGAAAAUGUUUUGUUGUUAGCUAAAGGAAUAUAAUUAUAAUGCAAUUGAGAUUUAUGAAGCUUCAGUUUCUGCUGUUC